UGGGGAUUCUUCCGCAAUGGGCGAAAGCCUGACGGAGCAAUACCGCGUGAGGGAGGAAGGCUCUUGGGUUGUAAACCUCUUUUCUCAGGGAAGAGAAAAAUGACGGUACCUGAGGAAUAAGCAUCGGCUAACUCCGUGCCAGCAGCCGCGGUAAUACGGAGGAUGCAAGCGUUAUCCGGAAUGAUUGGGCGUAAAGCGUCCGCAGGUGGCUGUGUAAGUCUGCUGUUAAAGAGUCUGGCUCAACCAGAUAAAGGCAGUGGGAACUACACGGCUAGAGUGCGUUCGGGGCAGAGGGAAUUCCUGGUGUAGCGGUGAAAUGCGUAGAGAUCAGGAAGAACACCGGUGGCGAAAGCGCUCUGCUAGGCCGCAACUGACACUGAGGGACGAAAGCUAGGGGAGCGAAUGGGAUUAGAUACCCCAGUAGUC
rnacentral:rRNA from 1 species